rnacentral:lncRNA from 1 species
AGAGAAUCCUGGAAGGUCAGAGAGGUGCGGGACUGUUGGGUUGAGAAGGUCCUGGAAGGUUGAUGAGCCAUAGAGUGGGUUGAGAAGGUGCUGGAAGGUCACAGAGGUGCGGGACUGUUGGGUUGAGAGGGUCCUGGAAGGUUGUAGAGCCAUAGAGUGGGUUGAGAAGGUGCUGGAAGGUCACAGAACUGUGGGACUGUUGGGUUGAGAGGGUCCUGGAAGGUUGAUGAGCCAUAGAGUGGGUUGAGAAGGUGCUGGAAGGUCAGAGAGGUGCGGGACGGUUGGGUUGAGAGGGUCCUGGAAGGUUGUAGAGCUAUAGGGUGGGUUGAGAAGGUGCUGGAAGGUCAGAGAGGUGCGGGACUGUUGGGUUGAGA